rnacentral:rRNA from 1 species
UGAGGAAUAUUGGUCAAUGGUCGGGAGACUGAACCAGCCAAGCCGCGUGAGGGAAGAAGGUACAGCGUAUCGUAAACCUCUUUUGCCGGGGAACAAGAGCUUCCACGAGUGGGAGUGUGAGCGUACCCGGAGAAAAAGCAUCGGCUAACUCCGUGCCAGCAGCCGCGGUAAUACGGAGGAUGCGAGCGUUAUCCGGAUUUAUUGGGUUUAAAGGGUGCGUAGGCGGCCUGUUAAGUUAGUGGUUAAAUGUCGGGGCUAAACCCCGGAUUGCCAUUGAUACUGGGUGUCUUGAGUGCAGCAGAGGUAGGCGGAAUUCGUGGUGUAGCGGUGAAAUACUUAGAUAUCACGAAGAACUCCGAUUGCGAAGGCAGCUCACUGGACUGCAACUGACACUGAGGCUCGAAAGUGUGGGUAUCAAACAGG